AGGCCUCACCAGGGAAACAUAACAAAUCUCUCAGCUAGAUUUAUGCAGACAGUUCUAAGGGCAGAAUUACACACACUCUGCUUUUGCUUGGGAGUCUUGGGGCUGCUGAUCCAAACAUUCAGCUACUGAGAGUCUUUUUAAUUGCAGAGCACUGGGGUAGAAUACAAGCUUUGCAUGAGGACAGUCCUAGGUUUGGUUCCUGGCACUCUCCAGUUAAACAAAAGCAGGGACACCCUGCUUUUUGAAGGGCUGUCUGCUCCAUGUUUGGUUUAAAGACUAGGAACCUCUCUGAUCUUGACCGCCUCAGAAAGAAACUUUGCAACUACCAAAGAUACCCUGGGAAUCCUAUCCCCUAUAAGGUACCUAACAAAAUUGUGCAGGUCUUCCUGGAAGGUUUGCAAUUAAAGGAAUAUUUGUUAUUGUUGUGAGAUCUGUUUGUAUAGUAUGCAGGGCAGUUGAAUAUGCUGUACGGAUUCUACUUCCUGAUUUGUACAGGGGCAUAAUCUAGCAGAGUAAGGAAUAUCUGCAUAUCUGCCUCGGAGCAUUUUGGAAGGAAACACAUUCAGUCUGGCCUUGGUAAAAAGUCUGUGGUAGUUGACCACUGUAAAGUUCUUUAGAUAUUCAGCUAUAUGAAAUGUUCUGGCAUACUGUAAGCUCACAGCUCUUGGUGAAAAGGAUGAACAGGCCCACAGGUCACCCUAGGCAAUGUCCCACAGUCUUUGUUUUAGUUGUUAGUGCCCCACUGGUGUUUUUCCCCUCUAUCACCUGUAGUGCUGCUGUUUGGGUAGCGCUUUGGGGAUAGAAGUCUAGGACCCCACUCAACUGAAUGAGCUGGAGGGCCUCCCGACACAGCAGCCCUGACUUAUCACAUUUGGAAGUAAUGAAGCAAUACACAUUAACAUCUAAAAAUGGUAAGACCAUUAAGUCCGGAGUCUAAAAUUGCCUAACAGUGCCGCUGAUCACCUGGGAGACCCACAGAGGUAGUAUAUUAAUUUACUACCCAAGUCUGCAGUGAAUUAAUUCAUUCCAUCAGCUGUGUAGUGCCCUGACCACCAUGAGAAGAGCUUUUCAGUGACAAGUGCCCGGAUAUUUGAAUUUGGCCUCUCUGUAAAUACAAUUUGAGAAUCUCAGUUUUAUCACGCCACUGACUUAGGGCAUGAGGUGGAUUAAGUGGGAAGUCAUCCCUUGUUCCAAAUCUAUGACCAGUGUUUUAAAAGCACUGCUCUAAAAGGAAAAGGAAAAGCCCAACAUUUACAUAAGUAGAGCUUUUGAACCUCAGAGAGAACUCUUGUCACAGCUGAGUUUCUGCCUUUGAUCCUGAAACUGCCAAUCCACAGCAGGAAUCCCUGUUGAGCUACCUAUCUCAGGUGCUUAGAUGCUCUUUAUUACCAUAAUACACGAGGACAUCAGUAUCAUGGCUACAUUUAUCCUCACAGCAUCCUUGUAAAUGAGGAAGGAAAAAGCCAGUGACUUGCCUAAAGGCAAUCUCAGUGUCAGAAUUCCAAAGGCAUCUGUCUUGGUGUUAAUGUUCUCCAGCCAAUGCUAUCUAAGCAUACAGAUUAAUCCGGCAGAGCCUGACAUGAUUGGAUAAAGCCAGUGAGGUCACUGUCAGUGCUGUUAACCAAGGCCUAAGAGGAAUUGUUGUUGUUGUUUAGUAGUUUAGUCGUGUCCGACUCUUUGUGACUCCAUGGACCACAGCAUGCCAGGCACUCCUGUCUUCCACUGCCUCCCGCAGUUUGGUCAAACUCAUGCUGGUGGCUUCGAGAACACUGUCCAACCAUCUCGUCCUCUGCCUUCCCCUUGUCCUUGUGUCCCUUCCCAACAUCAGGUUCUUUUCCAGGGAGUCUUCCCUUCUCAUGAGGUGGGCAAAGCAUUGGAGCCUCAGCUUCAGGAUCUCUUAGAGGAAUAACUAUGGACAAAUGAAAUAGUGCAAGGAGCUAACCCCCGCAUCACCAACUGGGGACCCAAGGUUGGGAAAGGCUGGGUUAGAGUGCAAGACUGCGACCCGGGAGGCCAGGGUUCAAAUCCUGGCUCAGCCAUGGAGCUCACUGGAUGACCUUGGACCAGUCACUGCCUCUCAGCCCAACCUACCUCACAGGGUUGUUGUGGGGUUUAAGUGAAUGGGGGGGGGGAUAUGUACACCACCUUGAGCUCCUUGGAGAAAAAGCUGGGAUAUAAAUCUAACAAAUAAAUAUAAAUGCAUAAAUAAAUGAAUUUCUUGGUGGCCAUCACUUGGUAGCAGAACACCUGCAUUGCAUAUAAGAGGCCCCAGGUUCAACCCGCAGCAUCUACCAUUAAAACAAUGACAUAGCAACUGAUCUUUCUGCCUGAAACUCUAAAGAGCUGCUACCAGGGUUUGAUGCACAGGUCAUCUGACUUGGUACAUUUCUGAGCACAAUUCAAAGUGUUGGUGCUGACCUUUAAAGCCCUAAACGGCCUCGGUCCAGUAUACCUGAAGGAGCAUCUCCACCACCAUCAUUCUGCCCGGACACUGAGGUCCAGCGCCGAGGGCCUUCUGGUGGUACUCUUCGACAAGCCAAAUUACAGGGAACCAGGCAGAGGGCCUUCUUGGUAGUGGCACCCGCUCUGUGGAACGCCCUCCCACCAGAUGUCAAAGAGAACAACCACUACCAAACUUUUAGAAGACGUCUGAAGGCAGCCCUGUUUAGGGAAGCUUUUAAUGUUUGAUGAAUUACUGUAGUUUAAUAUUUGGUUGGAAGCUGCCCGGAGUGGCUGGGGAAGCCCAGCCAGAUGGGCGGGGUAUAAAUAAUAAAUUAUUAUUAUUAUUACAAGGCAGCUUUCUUUUUCCCUACGGUGUUAAAUGGAAUACUUGGUGCAAGGGUUUAAGGAAAAAAACAUUUGAGCUGCUGGCUGUGGCAUCCGGUGUAAUGAAACUGCAUAGCGUGCAAAUUUGUGUGUCCAGCCCUGUUUAAAACAGCCCACCAAACAGUUGCUAAAUGCUUCAUGAAGAAGAUAGGAGAGGAAAAUAAUCAUUUUUAGGCGGUAGCUGCAAUCUCUGUACAAUCUCUGUAAAAGUGCAGGGCUAGAGUUUACAGCAAGGAGUUCCUGUAGGAGAGAUGCUUCGGUUGACAGGCUCUCCCUCCAGUUGGAGCAGAGUCAGUUGCACAGAAUAAGGUCAUGCUGGAGUAAUUGGAUUAUCUAAUAAAUAGCUGGACGGGGGCCUGUGACAUGGAGUGAAGGCUUGCAAAGCACAGCGGCUGUUUUUUAAUUGGUGCUUUAGCCUACUGCUGGAAAGCAGAGUGAUGCUGAGAGAAGAUAUUUGCAACAGCAGGUUCAGUGGUAGUGCUGUUGUUCACACAGCACUGAAAUUUGGGCGAUACAAGUACCAUUGCAGUGGGGAUACAGCUAUACCCUUGUGUACUGGGAGAAGUUUGGCUGUCCGUAGGUUUAUAGCAUUUGUAUGCCACCCCUAGGCAUAAAGUUAUUUGCUUUGCUUACAAUAAAUAAGUUAAAGGGGGGGGAAUACAAUUAAGGCAUUAAAUAAAAAGCUACAUAAAUGGAAAAAUAAAAACUUUCACUGCACUCCCAAAGUUAAGAACAUAGCAACAGCGCUGCUGGAUCAGGCCAGUGGCCCAUCAAGUCCAGCAUUCUGUUCUCACAGUGGCCAACCAGAUGCUUUUGGGAAGCCCAGAAGCAAGAUCCAAGUAUGAGAGCACUCUUCCCUCCUACUGUUUCUAGCCACUGGUAUUCAGAAGCAUUAUGGUCUUCAACCUUGGAAGCAGAGCAGAGUCAUAAUGGCUACUAGCUCCUGAUAGCCUUCUCCUCCAUGAUUUUGUCCAUCCCUCUUUUAAAGCCAUCCAAGUUUGUGGCCAUCACUGCCUCUUGUGGGAGCGAAUUCCAUUGUUUAGCCAUGAACUGUGGGAAGAAGUAUUUUCUUUUGACUAUCCUGAAUCUUGCAACAUACAGGCUCAUUGGAUGUCCCCAAGUACCAGAAUCAGCACAGAGAGAUAAGAACCUAUCUCUGUCUGCUUUCUCCAUGCCUUGCAUAGUUUUAUAUAUUUUUGUCCCACCUCCUUUUACUUGCCUUUUCUCUAAAAGUCCCAAACACUGCAGCCUUUCCCCAUUCUCUAUCCCCUUGAUCAUUUGGAUUUCCCUUUUCUGAAUCUUUUUCCAACUCCACAAUAUACUUUUUGAUGUGUGAAAGGUUAAGGACCCCUGACAGUUAAGUCCAGU